AGAGCAUCUUCGGAUGGAGGAGGAAGUUACUUACACACUUCUCCAUUGAACGAUGCUCCCC
rnacentral:pre_miRNA from 1 species